rnacentral:lncRNA from 1 species
UGGGAACCCUGUUACACUGUGGAAGCUUUGUUCUUUUGCUCUUUGCAGUAAAUCUUGCUGCUGCUCACUCUUUGGGUCCACACUGCUUUUAUGAGCUGUGACACUCACCGUGAAGGUCUGUAGCUUCACUCUUGAAGCCAGCGAGACCACGAACCCACUGGGAGGAGAGAACAACUCCAGACGUGCCACCUUAAGAGCUGUAACACUCACUGCGAAGGUCUGCAGCUUCACUCCUGAGCCAGCAAGACCACGAACCCACCAGAAGAGCGAACACAUCCGAACAUCAGAAGGAACAAACUCCGGACACGCCACCUUUAAGAACUGUAACACUCACCACGAGGGUCUGCGGCUUCAUUCUUGAAGUCAGUGAGACCAAGAACCCACCAAUUCCAGACACAUCCUUAUUGCCUUCAUGUCUUGAUGCCCCGAGAGCAUAACAGCUCGGGGCAUGCCACGGGUGCGUGGGGAGAUAACACUCCCUUGAAGUACUGGAGUAUAAUCAAACAACUUGGCUCCUGCUGAAACCCGCUCCCACCUGUUUCGGUCCUGAAGGGGACAUUUGGAUACAGACACAGGCAUGAACAGAGGAGAGACCAUGUGAAGAGUCACAGGGAGAAUGCCAUGUGAAGACAGAGGAAUGGAAUUAUCCAUCCACAUGCAAUAAAAUGCCAAAGAUUGCCAGGAAGUCACCAGAAGCUUGGAACAGUCUGGUUUUGUUAUGACUGAUUUGAUUAGAAGUAACAGAUUGAGUCUGGUUGAGAAGAAAGAGAAAUUUAAUAUUGCCAUGCAAGAUUGUUGUAUCCUUGGAUCACAUACAAAAAACCAUCCAUGUAAGACAUGACUUGCUGUUCCUUGCCUUCUGCCAUGAUUGUGAGGCUUCCCCAGCCACGUGGAACCGUAAGUCCAAUUAAAUGUCUUUCUUUCAUAAAUUGCCCAGUCUCAGGUAUGUCUUUAUCAGCAGCAUGAAAAUGCACUAAUACAUUGAGGUUAAA